AGAGACGAGUCAGAGUUUGAUCCUGGCUCAGGACGAACGCUGGCGGCGUGCUUAACACAUGCAAGUCGAACGGGGUAACUCCUUCGGGGGUUACUUAGUGGCGAACGGGUGAGUAACGCGUGAGGAACCUGCCUUCCAGUGGGGGGACAACAGUUGGAAACGACUGCUAAUACCGCAUAAUACUUUUGAGCGGCAUCGCUUAAAAGUCAAAGCUUUAUGUGCUGGAAGAUGGCCUCGCGUCUGAUUAGCUAGUUGGUGGGGUAACGGCCCACCAAGGCGACGAUCAGUAGCCGGACUGAGAGGUUGAACGGCCACAUUGGGACUGAGAUACGGCCCAG
rnacentral:rRNA from 1 species